CCCCUCUCAGGGUCGCAUCUGGAGAGUUUCUAGUAUUCUACCAAUCUCGACUACAGGAGAGAGAGUCAAACAGAGGCAUAUCCAUUCCAUUCCUAGCUUGAGCUUUGGCUAGCAAGUGGAAGGCGAUCUGCUACAAGU